AGAGAGUUCAAGAGUACGUGAAACUGCUCAGAGGCAAACGGGUGGGCCCUCGAAAUCCUGUGGCGGGAGGAUUCAGUCUGUUGUUAUUGUUUCGCCGGAGACACCCAUAAUGGUUCCGCGGAGGCGGCCACUCCGGAGAGAUACAACGAUCGUGCAGGACGCAUUUGUUUCCCGUCCGAAGGACCCCGCAACCGGUUCGGAAACGGCCUUGAGGGCGAGCGAUGGCAGUUGGCCGGUGGCUCACGCACGUGGGUCGUCGGCUGUUAGCCGGUUCUCGUCUGGGCUCGUGGCCGGACCGUGGUGUCGCAAGGCCUAAUCUUAGGCUGCUUCGCCUCCUCCGUUCGCGGACGCCGGGAUCUCGUGGCAGGGGUUCGCACUUCUGCGGGCGCACGGACAGUCUCCGUGGCCCAGCGGUCGCGAUGCGUCCUCGUUGGCUGCGGCUGAACCCGUCGGAGGUUGGCGGUUCGCGGGGAGUAGAUCGGUCACCCACCCGACCCGUCUUGAAACACGGACCAAGGAGUCUAACAUGUGUGCGAGUCAAUGGGUCUCGAUUAAGCCCAGAGGCGCAAUGAAAGUAAAGAUCGGACACGACGCCGAUCGAGUUGGGAUCCUCGUUUAUUAAGACGAGGCGCACCAACGACCCGUCCUUUACAGUAUACUGUUUGGGCGGAGUUUGAGCAUACACGUUGGGACCCGAAAGAUGGUGAACUAUGCCCGGGCAGGACGAGGCCAGAGGAAACUCUGGUGGAGGUCCGCAGCG
rnacentral:rRNA from 1 species